GCCGGGAGCCGCGGCGGAACCGGGAACCGGGCGCCGGGCUCGGCUCGGCCGCGCGUCUGCGGGGCCGAAGGGCGCGGGCCGGGCCCGGCUGCUGUCGCCCCCCGCCGCCCCCGUUACCGAGGCGGCUCCUCCGGCGGCGCAGGCCCGGCCCGGCCCCGCUCCCGGCCCGGCCCAGCCCGGGGCGGUGCUCCCCGGCCGGCCCCGCCCGCCGCGGCGCUGCCGGGCCCCCGGGACGGGGACGGAGCUGGGGCUGGGGCCGGCCCCACAAAGGCGGCCCCCCCCGGCUCAGCGGGCCCGGCCCCACCGCAGCCCGGUACCCGGUGGGCCCUGCGCUGCGGUACCGGGCCUGUGCGGGGCCCCCCUGCCCCGCGGGACCAGCUCACGGGAACCCCGCGUAGUGGCGGGGGGUGCGGGUGUGAGGGGCACGGGGAAAGGGGCUCUGUGCCUGGGGAGAGGUUUGGUCGGUGCCCGGGGAGAGGCUCGGUUCCUGCAGAGCCCAGCCUCACGGAGCACAGAACGACGCUUGGGGUUGGACCCCGCAGUGGGGUGGGUGCUGUGGGAUCAGGCCAGGAACGGCCGUCGUGGGUACCGGGACAUCGGUGCUCACCGGGACAUCGGUGCUCAGCUCCAGCACGGCCCCUUGCCGGGAGCACGGGGCAGCCGCAAGUGCCGAAACCCUCAGACCCUCGUUUUUCCAUCCGCAGAGCAAAUGGCUGCAAGCGUCGCCCGUGCAGCCGCUCCUCCGCAGGCCAGCGCCAGCUGGGCGCCCACGCGGCGCUGCUGCCCGACUGCUGCAGCGAGCCCGGCCCGUCGGGGAGCAGCCUGGGCCCUGCUCCGAGGGGGACGGAAGGCACCGGGAACCCCGCGGAGCCACCGAUCCUCCCGGUUCACGAUGAAGCACAGAUGGCUUGGCCUGGCUGCCCUCUGCCUGACAAGAGGACGGAACAAAAUAGCCGCCAGGCAUUUACCAGUCCCAGGACAUUCGGCUUUUUCCUGGCUUACCUCCGACCGGGCCAUUUUUGUGGGCUGACCACCACACGUGAUCCCAGGCGCAUCCAAAGAGCUGCAAAGGGCUGCCCUGCCACGACGCUUCUUCUGACCGUGCCCGUCUUUUCCAGCUGCAGAACGCAGAGGGCUCCGGGUUGUGUUCCCGCAGCCACGCAAGACAUCGCGGAACAGCUCUGCACGGCAGCAGUAACGGCGUGA
rnacentral:lncRNA from 1 species